rnacentral:hammerhead_ribozyme from 1 species
AUCUAACUGAUGAGUCCCAAAUAGGACAAAACGUGUCCUGGAU